UGUGGCAAUUUAACUGAAGGUGAUGUAAACUAUGUCGUUGAUUGCUGUUCAAUAUUUACCAACACCAUGGGCAUCAUUAGACUUCAUUUUAUUCAGAAACUCAAGAAAUCGUGGUUCUGGAUUUGGAAGGACUCUGAAUGUGAUGCUAAGAAAUUUGAAUUUCGGGAGGAGCCAAGGUGGCCGAAUAGGAACAGCUCCCAUCUACAGCUCCCAGCGUGAGCAACGCAGAAGACAGGUGAUUUCUGCAUUUCCAUCUGAGGUACCGGGUUCAUCUCACUAGGGAGUGCCAGACAGCGGGGGCAGGUCACUGGGUGCGUGCACCGUGCGCGAGCCAAAGCAGGGCGAGGCAUUGCCUCACUCGGGAAGCGCAAGGGGUCAGGGAGUUCCCUUUCGUAGUCAAAGAAAGGGGUGACAGACGGCACCUGGAAAAUCGGGUCACUCCCGCCCGAAUACUGCGCUUUUCCGACGGGCUUAAAAAACGGUGCAACAGGAGAUUAUAUCCCGCACCUGGCUCGGAGGGUCCUACACCCACAGAGUCUCACUGAUUGCUAGCACAGCAGUCUGAGAUCAAACUGCAAGGUGGCAGCGAGGCUGGGGGAGGGGUGCCCACCAUUGCCCAGGCUUGCUUAGGUAAACAAAGCAGCCAGGAAGCUCGAACUGGGUGGAGCCCACAACAGCUUAAGGAGGCCUGCCUGCCUCUGUAGGCUCCACCUCUGGGGGCAGGGCACAGACAAACGAAAAGACAGCAGUAACCUCUGCAGACUUAAAUGUCCCUGUCUGACAGCUUUGAAGAGAGCAGUGGUUCUCCCAGCACGCAGCUGGAGAUCUGAGAACUGGCAGACUGCCUCCUCAAGUGGGUCCCUAACCCCUGACCCCCGAGCAGCCUAACUGGGAGGCACUCCCUAGCAGGGGCAGACUGACACCUCACACGGCCGGGUACUCCAACAGACCUGCAGCUGAGGGUCCUGUCUGUUAGAAGGAAAACUAACAAACAGAAAGGAUAUCCACACCAAAAACCCAUCUGUACAUCACCAUCAUCAAAGACCAAAAGUAGAUAAAACCACAAAGAUGGGGAAAAGAUAGAGCAGAAAAACUGGAAACUCUAAAAAGCAGAGCGCCUCUCCUCCUGCAAAGGAACGCAGUUCCUCACCAGCAACGGAACAAAGCUGGACGGAGAAUGACUUUGACGAGCUGAGAGAAGAAGGCUUCAGAUGAUCAAAUUACUCCGAGCUACAGGAGGAAAUUCAAACCAAAGGCAAAGAAGUUGAAAACUUUGAAAAAAAUUUAGAAGAAUGUAUAACUAGAAUAACCAAUACAGAGAAGUGCUUAAAGGAGCUGAUGGAGUCAGGAAACAACAGGUGCUGGAGAGGAUGUGGAGAAAUAGGAACACUUUUACACUGUUGGUGGGACUGUAAACUAGUUCAACCAUUGUGGAAGUCA
rnacentral:lncRNA from 10 species